rnacentral:rRNA from 1 species
UACAGAGGGUGCGAGCGUUAAUCGGAAUUACUGGGCGUAAAGCGUGCGUAGACGGUUAUUUAAGUCGGGUGUGAAAGCCCCGGGCUCAACCUGGGAAUUGCAUUCGAGACUGAAUAGCUAGGGUGCGGUAGAGGGAAGCGGAAUUUCCGGUGUAGCGGUGAAAUGCGUAGAUAUCUGGAGGAACACCGGUGGCGAAGGCGGCAUCCUGGACCGGCAUUGACGCUGAGGCGCGAAAGCUAGGGGAGCAAACGGG